rnacentral:miRNA from 1 species
ACGCACAACUGGCGAGGGAUUGCC